GAGUUUGAUCCUGGCUCAGAUUGAACGCUGGCGGCAGGCCUAACACAUGCAAGUCGAACGGUAACAGGAAGAAGCUUGCUUCCUUGCUGACGAGUGGCGGACGGGUGAGUAAUGUCUGGGAAACUGCCUGAUGGAGGGGGAUAACUACUGGAAACGGUAGCUAAUACCGCAUAACGUCGCAAGACCAAAGAGGGGGACCUUCGGGCCUCUUGCCAUCGGAUGUGCCCAGAUGGGAUUAGCUAGUAGGUGGGGUAACGGCUCACCUAGGCGACGAUCCCUAGCUGGUCUGAGAGGAUGACCUGCCACACUGGAACUGAGACACGGUCCAGACUCCUACGGGAGGCAGCAGUGGGGAAUAUUGCACAAUGGGCGCAAGCCUGAUGCAGCCAUGCCGCGUGUAUGAAGAAGGCCUUCGGGUUGUAAAGUACUUUCAGCGGGGAGGAAGGGAGUAAAGUUAAUACCUUUGCUCAUUGACGUUACCCGCAGAAGAAG
rnacentral:rRNA from 1 species